GAACGCUGAAGGAGGAGCUUGCUUCUCUGGAUGAGUUGCGAACGGGUGAGUAACGCGUAGGUAACCUGCCUGGUAGCGGGGGAUAACUAUUGGAAACGAUAGCUAAUACCGCAUAAUAGUAGAUGUUGCAUGACAUUUGCUUAAAAGGUGCAAUUGCAUCACUACCAGAUGGACCUGCGUUGUAUUAGCUAGUUGGUGGGGUAACGGCUCACCAAGGCGACGAUACAUAGCCGACCUGAGAGGGUGAUCGGCCACACUGGGACUGAGACACGGCCCAGACUCCUACGGGAGGCAGCAGUAGGGAAUCUUCGGCAAUGGACGGAAGUCUGACCGAGCAACGCCGCGUGAGUGAAGAAGGUUUUCGGAUCGUAAAGCUCUGUUGUAAGAGAAGAACGAGUGUGAGAGUGGAAAGUUCACACUGUGACGGUAUCUUACCAGAAAGGGACGGCUAACUACGUGCCAGCAGCCGCGGUAAUACGUAGGUCCCGAGCGUUGUCCGGAUUUAUUGGGCGUAAAGCGAGCGCAGGCGGUUAGAUAAGUCUGAAGUUAAAGGCUGUGGCUUAACCAUAGUACGCUUUGGAAACUGUUUAACUUGAGUGCAAGAGGGGAGAGUGGAAUUCCAUGUGUAGCGGUGAAAUGCGUAG
rnacentral:rRNA from 1 species